rfam:Sulfuricurvum sp. MLSB contig_8063, whole genome shotgun sequence.
CUUCUAGACCUGUGCAAGGGUGCGUAAAGGCACUGUGUCAGGGUAGGAAUACAGCAGCACACCUAUGCGUGCUUUGUGCCGCAGGUAUCUGGGAGAGC